rnacentral:tRNA from 1 species
GAGGAUGUAGCUCAGAGGUAGAGUACUUGCCUAGCAUGCACAAGGCCCUGAGUUCAAUUCUCAGAACCACA